rnacentral:rRNA from 1 species
AUUGAACGCUGGCGGAAUGCUUUACACAUGCAAGUCGAACGGUAGAGGGGGCAACCCCUCGAGAGUGGCGAACGGGUGAGUAAUAUAUCGGAACGUGCCCAGUCGUGGGGGAUAACGUAGCGAAAGUUACGCUAAUACCGCAUACGAUCUAAGGAUGAAAGCGGGGGAUCGCAGGACCUCGUGCGAUUGGAGCGGCCGAUAUCAGAUUAGGUAGUUGGUGGGGUAAAGGCUCACAAAGCCAACGAUCUGUAGCUGGUCUGAGAGGACGACCAGCCACACUGGAACUGAGACACGGUCCAGACUCCUACGGGAGGCAGCAGUGGGGAAUUUUGGACAAUGGACGCAAGUCUGAUCCAGCCAUUCCGCGUGCAGGAUGAAGGCCCUCGGGUUGUAAACUGCUUUUGUACGGAACGAAAAGGUCUCUCUUAAUACGGGGGACUCAUGACGGUACCGUAAGAAUAAGCACCGGCUAACUACGUGCCAGCCGCCGCAGUAA